rnacentral:lncRNA from 1 species
UGCAUCUGAUAGGUCUCUGUGUGAUAAAUAUUUUGAAUUGCCUUCUAGGUAAGAGCCUAAUCCUGCUUAGGGAAACAACUUGGAAAGUGGUUUUUUUUUUUUUUUUUUUGAUUUUUAAACUUUUUUUUAAAAAAGUUUUUUAACGUGUGAACUCAUCCAUUAGACUUUACGCUCAAAACACAGGAGCUUGAAGGGGAAAACAAAAAUCAACUCUAAAAUGUUGAAUAGAGAUAUCUUUUUUGUUAUUAAUCUCAGUGUUUAUGAGGAAAGAACCCGUCUCUAAGACUUGAUCCCAUCUCCUUUAUUUGAUGGAUUGUUAAAUCUAUUGAUGAGUGAGUAGUUCAUCCAGCAUCCCCAGCAGCAAGGUCAGUGGAGUGAUUCCUCAAGCCGGCAGGGGAGGAUGGGGUCCUGGUAGAGGAGCCUCCUCCCUGCAGGAGCAUUUUGAGUAUGCAGAACACAGUGGCUCAGCCUGGAGCUGGCAGUUAGUGCUCUCACACACACACACACACACACACACGCAGCAGCGCUUUCCCCUCAAGUGAGGCGGCGUUAGUAACUGCAGUCCCGGCAUCCUAGGCUGGGGACCAGCGGCUACUGGCUGGUUUGUUAGAGGACCCUGGAGCCCAGUUUCCGAGGGACCCGGUGACACGCCGCUGUCACAACUAGUGACAGCUAUUUCUUCCCUGCUGCUUCCCCAGCUCCUGGCAAGAGGACACCCUCUUCCAAAAGCCAGGCAGCCCGGGGAGGAGGCUGCUCCCUGCAGAAGGUGGAUUCUUUACCAUUGAGCCACCUGGGAAGCCCCCUGAGCCAGGAGAGGAAAGGUUUAUUCGUAUACCUUGCAAAUGCUUAUUGAGCUACCAUAAUACAUCGGGUACUCUGCUAGGUACUGGAGAUAAAAUAAUGUCAAGAGAGCAUCUGUUCAGCUCUUUGAACUAUGGGUAAGUAUAUUUUAGAA